AUUAAUUUUUUCUCACCAACUUCAAGUUUCCUAUUCAAAAGUCAUUAUAAAAUGUUAUAGCAAAAUUUGGGAGUUGUCAGGUGCCACAGUGAAAUAAAUUGCAAAAAUCUCCGUAAAGGCGGCCGCUCAGCCACAGCCCGUACGAUGAGCGAUAGCUGUCUGCUGGUGCCUGCAACUAACUGCAUAUGUGUAUGUAUGUGUGUGUGUGCUUAACUCUCUUCAUCGCCACACCAUGAGCAACUCUGUCUCGGGUUUGCUCAAUCGAUUACACGGAGGCUCUUCUAUUUUCACGGAGUUGGAAGAAACUGUACGAAAGCUACUACUUAUUUUUCGCUAAUCAUCUCAGCUCGUUACCGCCAAUGCCUCGUCGCUAUUUGCCGCUAUUCAUUGAUCGUUUUGGUCUUCGUGGCGCGCCAUCUGCAAGGGAAAAUCGAAAAAGACACAACAAAAGUUGCUUGAAUAAGGCAAAACUUGAUAAUCGCAAUGAAAUUUGACGUCGCUCAGCAAGUAUGAUAAAAGGAAAUAAAAAUCGAAAUAUAAAAAUAAAAAUAGUGAAA